GUUCCGUUCCGUUCCGCUCUCUUCUCUUCUUCCUCUUCGUCGUCUUCGUUGCACGCUCUCUCGUGCGACAGUGGUCUUCCCUUUGACUUUUCUUCAUCCCUCAUUCCACGUGGAACGACUUCGCGUGAUUGGCCGUACGUGUGGGGCCCCUCUCUCUGUCUCCCUCUCUCUCUCUGUCCUCCGAAGCGCGUAACACGAGAAUUAGAUUCUGCUUGCAAAAAUUAAUUCAGAAAAUGGUAAUCGGAGCUGUUAUUGGUUAUUCAAAUAUUUUUGUCAUUCUACUUUGUAAAAAUUGAUUUCUUGAUCAUUCUUGAGCACGUUCAUGCGGGCACUGCAUGUGAUUCGGUGGUUAGGAUCGUGAUCUGCAACGAAGCCAUGGAUGAGCAUUGCAACCUUCGCCGGGGACCAUGGAACAGACCCUUUUCAUCAUCAUGGGUGUCCAGUGUCCACGUCUCUGUCAAAUUCGAUAAGAAGAAAACAAGGACAUGUACAUGCGUUUUGCGCACUCCCAUGCCAUGGGCUACCGUGUUUUAACAAUUGAUAAAUCUGCUGCUUUGCUUGGUUAAGCGGGACCGAAGUUAGAUAGGCCCUGAUUUAGGAGUAAAUUAUUCAGAUGAUGCCCAUGAAUGGCAGACGCCGGCCCCUGUGAUUGGUAUUAGCUUAACAGUUGUAUGCGGUGAUGGUCGCGGCGAGUUUAGUGCUCGAUGAGAUCUAGAAAGUUGAGCCAGAUUCAUGUAUAUGAAACCAACACCAUCACCGUUGCACAUUGCCAACUUGGCAAGUUGAUUUCGCAAUCGCCCAUUUCCAGGAACCAGGAGAGCGCUUCACUUUCCUUCUCGUGUUUCUUCUUUUUUUCCUGUUCCUUCUGUUUCGGGGUUACAGAAGAAGUAUCACUUUUGAGAAUGUGGUUUGCCAUCUGAAAGCAGCAAAGUGUUGGGGUGUGAAUGGCCACUUGGCUUUUGCACAAGUUGACUGCUCCCGUCGGUUGGGUCGUCGCGUCCUCCUUUUUUGGUUCACCUAAUUGUCCAUUAGAUCAUGAGAUUUUCUGUUCAGAGUCCACAUUUGACUUUUCUCAGCUUGCUGUAUUUCGUGGACUCUUUUUAAAGACUGAGAAUGGUUGAGGAGCGAAGUCUUCCGAGCCGGUCAAGAGCAAUUAGUGCCUGCUUGAAAUAGGACGUAUGUAUGUAUAUGUAUGUGUGCACAUCAGAUAUCUACUGUCUGUGGGAUUGCUGAUACGCCUCUAAUCUAUGCAAUUUUGUUUCUGGCUUGUGAAAUCUUUUGGCGUUUUGAUUGCCGAGUGUUACCGGAAUGCGCAUGAGAUGUAUCUUGAAGUUGGCCUAGUUAUUAUCAUUCAUUGUGACUGCUUAUAUGUUUUGGCAGAUUGGCAUCUGUCAAUGUUGACUUGAAACCAUAAACUGGUAGAAGCUACUCCAUGUCACAUAACUGAAUAAUUGAGCUGCUUAAAGGAUUUAUUAAUGAAUUAAAAAAAUGGCAAUCCGGAGAAACGCCCAUCUAUCCUCUUCAUUUGUUCCCAAUAUAAACUGAAGGGUGUGGUUGGAAUCAUUCCCAUUUUAAGAAGGCUAUUCUGUCUUUAAAGGCCACAACCUGAUGAAAGGGUGAACGGGGAUUGUCCGUUUAAAGGCUGAUGCCAAUCAUUCAAAACAAUGAAGUCUCCAUCUGAAGUCCAACCACACUCGCACCUGAAGUUAUAAUCUUUUUAGUAAGCGUAUGCAUGUCCGGAUAAUUGUGAAUACCACCGAGAGUGAGGUUUGUGCUGGUUUACUCACCUUCCAUUUCUGCGAGGAUCAUGUGAUAUUUCACUGCACUGUCUUUUGCAGGCAUGUUGUAGACUCUGCCUAAAUGCAGUCUUUAUUCGCUUACCUUUUCUCCACAAUUCUAC